rnacentral:lncRNA from 1 species
AUGGGAUUUUUCUGGGUCCUGCCCUCAGAGGUCUCUACAGGUGUGUGUGUGUGUCUAUCUGCCUGCCUACAGGAUUUUUCAACAUUUCAUAAUGUCUCUAACAUCAAUUGUUAUUGUCUAGAUAACACACAGGUGCCAUCUCCCAGAAUUAUCCAGCCCAUAAGGUCCAGAAUAGGAGCAGUUCUAGGAAAGCGGUUGGUUAUUGAAUGUAAAGCAGACCCAGGCCUUCCUGAUGAAUUUGCCCUUGUCUACUGGCUGGUCAACGGCACAUUCCCAGAUGUAGCCUCCACUGAUGGCAGAGUAUCAGAAACAGAAGAGUCAGUUUCGGAGGACGGCAGGGUGAUCCAGAGGAGUCUGGUGUUUAAGAACGUGACUGCAGAGGACUUCAGGUCCACCUUUACCUGUGUGAUAAAUAGCCCAGCUGGGCUUGACCAAAGGACUUUCACACUAGCCAAUCACAAGGCUCUAUUUCCCCCUCCUUCACCCACUCCCAAAACCGAGGAGAGAACAAUGAGAAAAGACACAGGAAAAAGGAUCACAGCAAAACACACCAGCAAGAAAUGA